ensembl:lncRNA
AACAAAUCAAAAAGACCAGGAGGGAGGUGGACUGGUGGAGGUAGAACAGGGGGAGGGAUGGCGGGCCAGGCCCGUGUAGGAGAACAGGGACCGGCCGUAAUGGCUCCACCGGCAGCCAAGGUGGAUCAGACAGUUCAGGGGGCCAGGGUUGACCCAAAAGUUCAGGGGACCACGAGGGACCAGACAGUUCAGGUGGCCAGGGUGGACCCGAAAGUUCAGGGGACCACGAGGGACCAGGCAGUUCAGGUGGCCAGGGUGGACCCGAAAGUUCAGGGGACCACGAGGGACCAGGCAGUUCAGGUGGCCACGGAGGAUCAGUCCAUCUUAGUUGUGCAGACGGCCAGGGAGGAACUCGCCACUUGAGCGACCAGAGCGGAACCUGCCCUUCCGGUGUCCCAGUGGAGACGUGAAGGUGCUCUGGACGGCCUGUGGAGACGUGAAGGUGCUCUGGACGGCCUGUGGAGACGUGAAGGUGUUCUGGACGGCCUGUGGAGACGUGAAGGUGUUCUGGACGGCCUGUGGAGACGUGAAGUACCUCGACCUCGGGAACCAUCUCGGGCACCGCAACGGACAGCGCCUCGGGCACCGCAUCGGGAAUGGCCUCGGACCCUGCCUCGGGCACCGCAUCGGGAACGGCCUCCGCAUCGGGCACCGCCUCGGCCAUUGCAUCGGGCACCGCCUCGACCUCGGGCACCGCCUCAGUCUCGGGCAUUACAUCGGGAACCGUCUCUGGCACCGUCUCUGGCACCGCAUCGGGCACCGCCUCGGCAUCGGGCACCGUCUCGGCAUCGGGCACCGUCUCUGCAUCGGGCACCGCCUCGGCAUCGGGCACCGCCUCGGGCACCGCCUCGGCAUCGGGCACUGCCUCGGCAUCGGGCACCGCCUCGGCCACCGCCUCGGGCACCGCCUCGGC